GUGAGAUCGGGUAAAGAGAGAUGGGGGAGAAAGAGGUGAGAACGGGGAAAGAGAGUGGGGAGAAAGAGGUGAGAAUGGGAAAGAUAGAUGGGGAGAAAGAGGUGAGAACGAGGAAAGAGAGGUGGGGGAGAAAGAGGUGAGAAGGGGAAAGAGAGAUGGGGAGAAAGAGGUGAGAUAGGGAAAAGAGAGAUGGGGAGAAAGAGGUGAGAAUGGGUAAAGAGAGAUGGGGGAGAAAGAGGUGAGAAAGGGGAAAGAGAGAUGGGGGAGAAAGAGGUGAGAAUGAGGAAAGAGAGAUGGGGGAGAAAGAGGUGAGAACGAGGAAAAAGAGAUGGGGGAGAAAGAGAGAGACAGAGAAUGAGAGGUGGGGGGAGAAAGAGGUGAGAACGGGGAAAGAGAGAUGGGGAGAAAGAGGUGAGAUCAGGGAAAAAGAGGUGGGGGAGAAAGAGGUGAGAUCGGGUAAAGAGAGAUGCGGGAGAAAGAGGUGAGAAUGGGGAAAGAGAGAUAGGGAGAAAAAGGUGAGAACGAGGAAAGAGAGUUGGGGGAGAAAGAGGUGAGAUCGGGGAAAGAGAGAUGGGGAGAAAGAGGUGAGAACGAGGAAAGAGAGAUGGGGAGAAAGAGGUGAGAUCGGGGAAAGAGAGGUGGGUUGAGAAAGAGGUGAGAACGGGGAAAGAGAGAUGGGGAGAAAGAGGUGAGAUCGGGGAAAGAGAGGUGGGUUGAGAAAGAGGUGAGAACGGGGAAAUAGAGGUUGGGAGCUAGCGGUGAGAACGGGGAAAGAGAGAUGGGGGAGAAAGAGGUGAGAACGGGGAAAAGAGAGAUGGGGAG
ensembl:lncRNA